rnacentral:rRNA from 1 species
CCUACGGGUGGCUGCAGUCGGGAAUCUUGCGCAAUGGGCGAAAGCCUGACGCAGCAACACCGUGUGAGCGACGAAGGCCUUCGGGUCGUAAAGCUCUGUUGUUGGGGACGAAGGGCGAAGGGUUAAUAGCCCCUAGCUUGACGGUACCCUUCGAGGAAGCCCCGGCUAACUACGUGCCAGCAGCCGCGGUAAUACGUAGGGGGCGAGCGUUGUCCGGAAUUAUUGGGCGUAAAGAGCGUGUAGGCGGUUCGGUAAGUCUGCCGUGAAAACCCAGG